rnacentral:rRNA from 1 species
CAAUAGCGUCUAUUAAAGUUGUUGCAGUUAAAAAGCUCGUAGUUGGAUUUCUGGUGGGAGCGAUCGGUCUGGCGCUUAGCGCGAGUACUUGCAUCGUCUCCGGCCAUCCUUGGGGAGAGUCUGUCUGGCAUUAGGUUGUCGGGCAGAGGAUCCUCAUCGUUUACUGUGAAAAAAUUAGAGUGUUCAAAGCAGGCUUAUGCCGUUGAAUAUAUUAGCAUGGAAUAAUAAGAUAGGACUUUGGUACUAUUUUGUUGGUUUGCGCACCAAAGUAAUGAUUAAUAGGGACAGUUGGGGGUAUUCGUAUUCCGUUGUCAGAGGUGAAAUUCUUGGAUUUACGGAAGACGAACUACUGCGAAAGCAUUUACCAAGGAUGUUUUCAUUAA